AUUGAACGCUGGCGGCAGGCCUAACUCAUGCAAGUCGAGCGGAUGAAGGGAGCUUGCUCCUGGAUUCAGCGGCGGACGGGUGAGUAAUGCCUAGGAAUCUGCCUGGUAGUGGGGGAUAACGUCCGGAAACGGGCGCUAAUACCGCAUACGUCCUGAGGGAGAAAGUGGGGGAUCUUCGGACCUCACGCUAUCAGAUGAGCCUAGGUCGGAUUAGCUAGUUGGUGGGGUAAAGGCCUACCAAGGCGACGAUCCGUAACUGGUCUGAGAGGAUGAUCAGUCACACUGGAACUGAGACACGGUCCAGACUCCUACGGGAGGCAGCAGUGGGGAAUAUUGGACAAUGGGCGAAGGCCUGAUCCAGCCAUGCCGCGUGUGUGAAGAAGGUCUUCGGAUUGUAAAGCACUUUAAGUUGGGAGGAAGGGCAGUAAGUUAAUACCUUGCUGUUUUGACGUUACCAACAGAAUAAGCACCGGCUAACUUCGUG
rnacentral:rRNA from 1 species